GGUCGUUUGGUCUAGUGGUAUGAUUCUCGCUUUGGGUGCGAGAGGUCGAGAGUUCGAUUCUCUCAAUGACCC
rnacentral:tRNA from 1 species